rnacentral:rRNA from 1 species
CCUACGGGUGGCAGCAGUGAGGAAUAUUGGUCAAUGGGCGCGAGCCUGAACCAGCCAAGCAGCGUGAAGGAUGACUGCCCUACGGGUUGUAAACUUCUUUUAUAAAGGAAUAAAGUGUGGCACGUGUGCCUUUUUGCAUGUACUUUAUGCAUAAGGAUCGGCUAACUCCGUGCCAGCAGCCGCGGUAAUACGGAGGAUCCGAGCGUUAUCCGGAUUUAUUGGGUUUAAAGGGAGCGUAGGUGGGUUGUUAAGUCAGUUGUGAAAGUUUGCGGCUCAACCGUAAAAUUGCAAUUGAUACUGGCAGCCUUGAGUACAGUUGAGGGAGGCGGAAUUCGUGGUGUAGCGGUGAAAUGCGUAGAUAUCACGAAGAACUCCGAUUGCGAAGGCAGCUUACUAAACUGCCACUGACAUUGAUGCGCGAAAGUGUGGGUAUCAAACAGGAUUAGAUACCCCUGUAGUC